AACGAACGCUGGCGGCAUGCCUAACACAUGCAAGUCGAACGAGACCUUCGGGUCUAGUGGCGCACGGGUGCGUAACGCGUGGGAACCUGCCCUUAGGUUCGGAAUAACUCCCCGAAAGGGGUGCUAAUACCGGAUAAUGUCUUCGGACCAAAGAUUUAUGGCCUUUGGAUGGGCCCGCGUUGGAUUAGCUAGUUGGUAGGGUAAAAGCCUACCAAGGCGACGAUCCAUAGCUGGUCUGAGAGGAUGAUCAGCCACACUGGGACUGAGACACGGCCCAGACUCCUACGGAAGGCAGGAGUGGGGAAUAUUGGACAAUGGGCGAAAGCCUGAUCCAGCAGUGCCGCGUGAGUGAUGAAUGCCUUAGGGUUGUAAAGCUCUUUUACCCGGGAUGAUAAUGACAGUACCGGGAGAAUAAGCUCCGGCUAACUCCGUG
rnacentral:rRNA from 1 species